rnacentral:rRNA from 1 species
UACGGAGGGGGCUAGCGUUGUUCGGAAUUACUGGGCGUAAAGCGCGCGUAGGCGGACCUGCAAGUCGGGGGUGAAAGCCCGAGGCUCAACCUCGGAACUGCCUUCGAUACUGGGGGUCUCGAGUCCGGGAGAGGUGAGUGGAAUUCCUAGUGUAGAGGUGAAAUGCGUAGAUAUCUGGAGGAACACCGGUGGCGAAGGCGGCAUCCUGGACCGACACUGACGCUGAGGAGCGAAAGCCAGGGGAGCAAACGGG